UGGGUGGAGUGUGAGGCGGGGAGGUCGCUCGACUCGCCGGCGCUGUGGCCUCCCGCGGAGCCGCUCAGACUUUCCCUGCCGGCACAUGGACCUGGCCCAACCCUCACAGCCAGUAGACGAGCUGGAGCUCUCGGUGCUCGAGCGGCAGCCAGAAGAGAACACGCCUCUCAAUGGUGCCGACAAGGUCUUCCCUUCUUUGGACGAGGAGGCCCCCCCGGCCGAGGCUAACAAGGAAAGCCCCUGGAGCUCCUGUAAUAAGAAUGUGGUUGGAAGGUGCAAACUGUGGAUGAUCAUCACCUCCAUUUUCCUAGGUCUCAUUAUAGUGAUCAUCAUAGGCUUAUGUCUUGCUGCAGUAACUUAUGUUGAUGAAGAUGAAAAUGAAAUACUUGAAUUAUCAUCAAACAAAACAUUCUUCGUCAUGCUGAAGAUUCCAGAGGAGUGUGUUGCUGAAGAGGAAUUGCCUCACCUGCUCACCGAAAGGCUCACAGAUGUGUACAGUACAUCGCCCUCUCUGAGUCGUUAUUUUACUUCAGUUGAAAUAGUGGACUUCAGUGGUGAAAAUGCCACAGUAACAUAUGACCUGCAAUUUGGGGUUCCAUCAGAUGAUGAAAAUUUUAUGAAGUAUAUGAUGAGUGAGGAGUUGGUGCUGGGCAUUUUGCUACAGGAUUUCCAUGAUCAGAAUAUACCUGGUUGUGAGAGUCUGGGGCUUGAUCCAACAUCCCUCUUGCUCUAUGAAUGAAGUGAUGGAGGCUGGUCUCUGUCUGAAAGCAGUGCUCUACCAAGUCCUGGAGAUGAAGAGAAUUCACUCUGUUUUGCAGAAAAGAUUCUGUGGAUUAAUACAGAAGCACCAGCAACAACCAGAGGGGUGGAGACUCCUUUCUCUCCCGAUUCUGCAGUCUGGCUCCAAGCCCAGUAAAACAGCUCCUGAGCACUGCUUCAGCUGGGUCCAGUCUUGACAAAGGCAGGAAGCCAGCUAGGGUGGGGGCGAUAGGGUCAGCGGGGCAGCUUCCUCUUCUGCGUGAAUAAGAUCAAGCCAAGUUUGGCUGGGGCGGCCUGGGUUCUCCUCUCUGUUCCAGCAAGAGCAGGCAGAGGCCAUCCCCUCCUCUUUCUCUGAGGCCCUCUCUGGCAGGACUUGGUAUCUGAAAGGGCUUGGACUUGAAGGAACAGCCUCUUCAUGUCUGGAGGCAGGAUUUGGUUUUGUUCUUCGCUUCUUCUUUGGAAAGCACCAAGAUGAAGUAGGACUGAAGCCGAAUCCUGAAGCACUGGUGGGAUUUGAAUAAGAAGAUUUGCCUUCCUUUACACAUGUUCGUGUCUUCUUAGGAUGAGGAUGAAGAUGAUACUAUCAAAUUCCUAAUCAGGAAAAAAGCUUUCUGCUGUGUUCCCAGCAAAGGAAAAAUGUUUCCUCACUCUCAAUUCUGGUAAUUUCCUUGGUUCCCUUGUAAUGAAGAACACGUAAGUGUUAUCCCCAGGAAAUCAAGGUACAAGUGUAUGGAAAUUUUACAAAUCAUUUUUUUCAGGUAUGGGUUAGGCAAUAUCAGUAUUUUACUAUAUUCUGAAUUUCUCCAAUUUACAGUAUAUUGCAAUUGUUUGCUCACUUGUCUAUAUUCUACACUAGAAUGUGAGCUUCACAAAGCUGGGGACCAUAUUGAUCUUGUUCAUCGUGGUAUGUAUUUCCAGUCUAUGACACAACAUUUGGCACACAUGUUUUGUAAAUGGGUUUUCAAAAAAUAUUUGAUGAAGAUAUGAAUACAGAAUGAAUAGCCAAGGACAGAACAACCCUGGUGCAGGAGGUCAGCAAAUCUACCACCUUGACUCCAACGACAUAGUUAAAUAACAGGACUUCUCUCUCUUAUAGCACAAAGGCUUAGAAUCUCUCUGCAGUCCUGCAUCUACAUUAAUGUAUAAGUAUCAUUCUGUACAUCUUUCUGAAUUUGAGGCAUAGUCAACUACCUACAUGGUUGAAUGUGAAAGCCCUUUAUAAAGUAGUAUCAGUUACAGUAUGUAAAAACGUUUGGAAAACACCAUCCAAAAAUAUCUCCCCCCAUGAGCUUUCCCAUGAAGUUUCAUCAGGAGGAGCAGUGGAGGAGAGGCUGACUGCAUCGUGACCUUGGCUGUGAUCACCUGCUUGGCUGAGUAUUCUGACAACCUCUAAGAUCUAUGCAUCAUCAAAGCCUUUGGGGCCCAGAGGCACAGCUGCAGCUCUUCCUCUUCUUUAGGUUACCUUCAGUGUGCUUCAGGCCGUUUGCUUACAUUAUCUGUUUUGUUGCUAAGGAAACAUCGUAAGAAAACUACUGAAUCACACCAAGUUAACAAACCAGAUUCACUGAGGAGAAAUGAAUGAGAUAAGAGGAGGGGGAUGAUUUUGAGAGAUAUUCUCUGAACUCCUGAGGCCACAGUUUUUAAAUCUAUAAAAGAGGAUGUAUAUACUGCUUACACAUGGAGUUAUAAGAAUAAGCUGAGGUUAAAUAUGGGCAAAAACGAUCUGUAAGCUGGCUGUUUCUCCUACUUGACUUUUCUGCAGUUUAUUCUUGCAUUUCAACAUGGUGGUUUUGGUUUGGGAUGGGUUCAGAUAGCCUCCAAGAAGCAAGCUAGACAAAUCUCUAUACCCUUAGGCUACGUGUCAGGAAUUUGAGGUAUCUGUCUCUUUCACAAUGCCUUCUCUGGCUCUCUGGUCUACCCAACCUCUCCCUUGUUAUAAUGCCAUGGCCCUUCUGAUUUAUUUCAUCAUUUGAACUGUAUGCCUUAAAAUGUGCCCAAUGAUACCCCUGAAAAUAUGUAAUUCUCAACUUGAACUGAAAAAAUUCACCCUGUUGAAAGGAAUCUCUGGGUCUCCAGCCCCUAACGCGGGCAUUGGUGUUAAAAAAUAACAACAGUGCUUGUUUUUUAAUUGCUCCUCUUUCAAAAUCUCCUCCUGAAACCAUGUGAAAAGCACAGAUAACUUUACAGGCCACAGAAAAACUGACCUUGUCAGCCCUUAGGAUUCUUGGAUUCUGGAACAUUAGUUCCAUAUUUUAAUUAUUCCUUUCCUUAGAGAGAAUUCUUUAGGGCUGGACAUUUGAAAGGUCUGUUCAAAAAGAAUUAAUGAGGUGGUCUUUGUUUAACAACCUCAGGGCAAUCACAAUGGUGUCUCCACAAACUUUCUAAAAAUUGUCGUAACAUGGGGCAUGUGGUCACUUCAGAAAUAGACACCUAUAGCUUAAAAUAAAAUGGCUAGGGUGGAGGUUGAGCACAAAGGUACCUGAGAUAGACAAACAAAAUGACAACAGGAAAUAAGACCUUUUAUUUUAUAACAGGGCAUAACAGGGACUAGCAGGGUCUUAGUUCCUGUUGCUAGGAGUUACAUUAGGCUUCUAGCAAAGUAGCAUAUCUCCUGUCCAAAGUUUUCAAGCAUUUUAUCUUUUGUCCUGUCUUCACAUUUGCUACUAUUGCAACUGCUACUGGUCUAAACAGGGCCCUCUCUCACUGGGAUGUGAAGUCCAGGGCUUGACAUACUUCGUUCUCCUUGGGCAAGGUCUAGGGGGUGUUUGGUUGACUUUGCUCUCACCUGGAUGUUCUCUGUUUGGGGCUUUGCAUUCUCACAUUCCAAGGCAUCUCUUGAGUGUUCUGCUGCCGCCUGAAACUCAACAUAUCAGAAACAGGCUAAGUAUUUCCUAAACAGGCCUGUCACUUCUUUUCAUAAUUUUUCCGACUUUCCUCAUUUCUACUAUUUGUGUGUAACUCAGAAAUUGACUGGUUGCCCUCACACAUGUUAAUACUGUUUCCUCAAGCACAUGUCGCAAGCUACCUUUGAUCUGACAUGCUCUCCAUUGCCACAGCAACAGCCCACUGAUGUUCUCCAACCUCCAUGAACAAGUGAUCCUAAAUCAUCUGAUCCCAGAUAUCCAGGGAUCCUCGUCAUGACCCUUGAGAGUAUCAGUGUCCAGAGAGAGGCCUGAGGUCCUCAGCUACCAUCUCUUUGGUGCAGUUCCAGGAGCUAUGCACAAGUAAUGGGGAAAGGUACUGGCUUUGUCUUGUGUAAAUCACACCAUCUUUCACAGAAAGCAUGGAGGCCCAGAACAAGGGACAGAAGGAGAAGAAAAGGAUUGAAUAAAGAAAAUAAAUUGGUUCAUUGUUUGGGUUAGAUUUCUGUAUACCCAUCUUACCACUUGUUGGGAAUUGGGAGUAUGAGGAUAAAGAAACUAACACUUAAACACUACUUACUAUAUGCCAAUCAUUUUGUGUGUUAUAUUUCAUUUAAUCCCAGAAUAAAUCCAUAAGAUAGA